rnacentral:tRNA from 1 species
GGCCCCGUAGCUCAGCUGGAUAGAGCACCGGACUUCUAAUCCGACGGUCGCAGGUUCGAAUCCUGCCGGGGUCGCCA